rnacentral:rRNA from 1 species
UACGUAGGGCGCAAGCGUUUGUCCGGAAUUAUUGGGCGUAAAGAGCUCGUAGGCGGCCUGUUGCGUCCGCUGUGAAAUCCCGGGGCUCAACCCCGGGCCGUGCAGUGGAUACGGGCGUGGCUAGAGGCAGGCAGGGGAGAAGCGGAAUUCCUGGUGUAGCGGUGAAAUGCGCAGAUAUCAGGAGGAACACCGGUGGCGAAGGCGGUUCUCUGGGCCUGUACUGACGCUGAGGAGCGAAAGCGUGGGGGAGCGAACAGG